rnacentral:rRNA from 1 species
AUUGAACGCUGGCGGCAGGCCUAACACAUGCAAGUCGAGCGAGCGUCGGACGGGUGAGUAAUUUAUGGGGAUCUGCCUGAUGGAGGGGGAUAACUACUUGAAAUGGUAUCUAAUACCGCAUACCAUCAGAUGCACCCACAUUGGAUUAGCUUGUAGGUAAGGUAACGGCUUACCUAGGCGACGAUCCCUAGCUGGUAUGAGAGGAUGACCAGCCACACUGGGACUGAGACACGGCCCAGACUCCUACGGGAGGCAGCAGUGGGGAAUAUUGCACAAUGGGCGCAAGCCUGAUGCAGCCAUGCCGCGUGUAUGAAGAAGGCCUUCGGGUUGUAAAGUACUUUCAGUCGGGAGGCGGUAACGACAGAAGAAGCACCGGCUAACUUCGUGCCAGCAGCCGCGGUAAUAC